CUUCUCACUACUGCACUUGACUAGUCUU
rnacentral:piRNA from 5 species